GGGAAGUCGACUCACCAUCAGAGCAUGACAGAAGCAUCCCAGAGUCUCCGCCGGAUAGAGAUGCCAAGGAUGUCCAUCAGAGCGGCCAAGGCUCUGUGUUGCUGUGCAGGCUGCACAAGAGGUCACAAAGUUCAGGAGGAAUUUGUUCAACCAGGAGACCAUUUGCCCCUCCAAGAAGGCCAAGAUGCCCAGGAGCCUGUCUGUCUUGGCUGUGGAGGGACUAAAGCGCAAACACCCCCAGACGACAGAAGGUGGCGAUCGACAUGCCCUCCGGACCAAUAAGGUGAUGGAGACGCCACUUCACAAGCAGGUGUCCAAUCGCCUGCUGCACAGGCAAAAGAUGGGCAGGUCUGUCCCGACAGAGGAGUGCAUCGUGGAGGAGUCGCCAGUGAAGCCCCCAGGUCAGUGACUGCUGCUAAGAGUGGAUAUGAAACAGACAUUUCUGAGCUCCAGCAACCUGGACAGAGCUCUCUCCUCCCAGCUCCUACUCAGCGACAGCAAAAUAGGUGCGGUAAACCUGCGAUCAGUACGGUCUCCGGUACGUCUUUUAUUUGGAGCCACUCAGUCUCCUGCUACCAGGUCCAGCCGGAGGCAGCUGUCCAUGUCUUCAAGGCUUGUGCUGUAGUCUCCACAACUGGAUCAGACUGACACAGGAUUUCCAUUCAGCGGAUGGUCUGAGGGAUGCACUCAUGUUGGACUGGAAAACAAAGAGACAUUUGGCCAGUGGCUCGAUCUGCUGUAGUCUCUACAAGUGGACGCUUGAGCUCGGAUCACACUGGCACAUGAUGUCCAUGCACUGGAUGGCCUGAGGGAUUCACUCCUGUUGGACUGGAAAACAAAAGAGACAUUUGUCUGGAUCUUCCUCUCUGCCAUGGUGGAUGAGCUACCUUUCCUGGUAAAUGUUCCCACGGGAAAAUGACAGCUGCAGACCCGAGUGUUGUCACUGGGUUUUCUGUCCGCCCAUCUCAAAGACAAAAAUCAAGUUACUUUUACUAGCUAGCUAAGUUGAUUACUAAAAUGGUAACAUCUAUAUUGAAAUGCCAUAACCCACAGACUUGACUAUAGUAAUGGUCAAAUACAUUGAUCUAUCUGCACAUAUAAAAUCCUACUAUGUGGAUGGGAUAUUUCUGCUGGUAUGGAGGAAUUAUCUGGAAUGCUCAACUAGAUCUAGUCUGGUGUACUAUUUGCCCGAAGAGGUGAAGUAUUGCGAUGAGCUAUAUGACUGUACUUCUGAUUAUAAUUCUCAAGAGGAAAGUUAAAACCUUGCUAACAUUAGGCACUUCAAGAAGCGAAGUAAACAGAAUGAUCAUUACACAGGUGCACCUUAAAAGGCAACUCUAAAAUGUGCAGUUUU